rnacentral:rRNA from 1 species
UGCGCAGGCGGGCUUGUAAGUCAGUGGUGAAAUACUGCCGCUCAACGGUAGAACUGCCAUUGAUACUGCAAGUCUUGAAUAUGGUUGAGGUAGGCGGAAUGUGUCGUGUAGCGGUGAAAUGCAUAGAUAUGACACAGAACGCCAAUUGCGAAGGCAGCUUACUAAGCCAUUAUUGACGCUGAGGCACGAAAGCGUGGGGAGCGAACAGGAUUAGAUACCCUGGUAGUC